GGAUAAGGAAAGUAAAAAAGGGCGCAUGGCGGAUGCCUUGGCUCUCGGAGGCGAUGAAGGACGUGAUAAGCUGCGAUAAGCUUUGGGGAGGUGCAAAUGACCUUUGAUCCAGAGAUUUCCGAAUGGGACAACCCAAUAUCUUGAAGAGGUAUUAUCCAACGUUGUUGGAGGCUAACGCAGGGAACUGAAACAUCUUAGUACCUGCAGGAAAAGAAAAUAAACAAUGAUUCCCCCAGUAGUGGCGAGCGAACGGGGAACAGCCCAAACCAUCCAUGUUACGGCAUGGGUGGGGUUGUAGGACUACGCCGUUGCAUGAAGACAUCAGAGAAGAACUUUCUGGAAAGAAAGACCAUAGAGCAUGACAGUUGCGUAUUCGAAUGUUGUCGAAGCAUAGUAGUAUCCUGAGUAGCGCGGAGCACGAGGAAUUCUGCGUGAAUCUGCCGGGACCAUCCGGUAAGGCUAAAUACUCCCGAGAGACCGAUAGCGAACCAGUACCGUGAGGGAAAGGUGAAAAGCACUUCGAACAGAAGAGUGAAAUAGUUCCUGAAACCGUGCGCCUACAAGCGGUCGGAGCUCGUUAAUGAGUGACGGCGUGCCUUUUGCAUAAUGAACCUACGAGUUGCCUUUGCCGGCAAGGUUAAGUGUGACGACACACGUAUCCGAAGCGAAAGCGAGUCUGAAUAGGGCGUAUAGUCGGCAGUGGCAGACGCGAAACCAAGUGAUCUACCCUUGGCCAGGUUGAAGGCUGGGUAACACCAGCUGGAGGACCGCACCAAUAAGCGUUGAAAAGCUUCUGGAUGAGCUGAGGGUAGGGGUGAAAGGCUAAUCAAACUUGGAGAUAGCUCGUACUCCCCGAAAUGCAUUUAGGUGCAGCCUUGCGGGUUACUGAUGUGAGGUAGAGCGACUGAUAAGAUGCGAGGGCUUCACCGCCUAUCAAGUCUUGACAAACUCCGAAUGCGCAUCAGUUCUACCGCAGGAGUGAGGGCAUGGGUGCUAAGGUCCGUGCCCGAGAGGAGAAGAAUCCGGACCACCUGCUAAGGUCCCGAAAUGACAGCUAAGUUAAACUAACGAAGUCUGACUGCUAAGACAGCUAGGAUGUUGGCUUGGAAGCAGCCAUUCAUUUAAAGAGUGCGUAACAGCUCACUAGUCGAGGAGUCGGGCGUGGAUAAUAAUCGGGUAUUAAGUUGUCUACCGAAGCAGUGGGAUCAUUAAUAUGAUCGGUAGGGGAGCAUUCCAGUCAGCGUCGAAGGCGUACCGUGAGGUAUUCUGGAGCGUCUGGAAAAGCAAAUGUAGGUAUAAGUAACGAUAAAGGGGGCGGGAAACCCCCUCGCCGAAAGACUAAGGUUUCCUGAUCAACGCUAAUCGGAUCAGGGUCAGUCGGGUCCUAAGGCUCAGCCGAACGGCGAUGCCGAUGGCAGAAACGGUUAAUAUUCCGUUACUACCUUCAGGAGUGACGUGGAGACGCAGUAGUGACAGUGCCGCCAUCUGACGGAAUAGAUGGUUGAAGGGUGUAGGAGUCGAUCAUGGCAGGCAAAUCCACCAUGAGAUCCGAACCUGAUAGUAUGCCGCGUCCUUCGGGACAAGGCAAUAGUGCGCGUAAGCAUGCUGCCGAGAAAAUCCGCUAAACUUAAUCCUGUAGGUACCCGUACCGCAAACGGACACACGUAGUCGGGAUGAAUAUUCUAAGGCGCUUGAGUGAUUCACGGUUAAGGAACUAGGCAAACUGACCCUGUAACUUCGGGAUAAAGGGUCCCUACCCUUUUAUGGGAGGGCGCAGAGAAUCGGUCCAGGCAACUGUUUAACAAAAACACAGGGCUGUGCCAAAUCGAAAGAUCCAGUAUACAGCCUGACACCUGCCCGGUGCUGGAAGGUUAAGAGGAGAUGUCAUCGAUGAGAGAAGCGUUGAAUUGAAGCCC
rnacentral:rRNA from 1 species